AAGUCGUACCAAGGUUUCCGUAGGUGAACCUGCGGAAGGAUCAUUA
rnacentral:rRNA from 1 species